UUGAUAUAUGAUCUAAGAAAUUAUUCUUAUGUUAAAAAGUAACAAAAAUUUGAUUACUCUAAAUAAGAAAUAUGAUUUAACUUGUUGAUUUAAUUGUUAAUGUUAUGUUGUAAAAUACUGACUAAAGUAUGCUAUAAAAUGAUAGAACAGUGUAGAGAUUCCAAACAAAAACACCUAAGACAAACUAUUUUCGAGGUAAAAUUGUUUAAUGUUUUAUUAAAUUGUUUUGAAUUUUAAUAUUCUUUUUAUUUUUAAUAAAAGAUUUUAGGUACUUCAGUUAAGAGACAUCAUCAUGGAAUAAACUGUGUAGUAAGAAUGGUUCUGUUGGUGAAAUUACGCGAUGUGUUAGCAUCACAUAUAGGAAUUGGAGUUGUGUGUAAUGGUUUAUUAUGGGAAAUAAUGAAAGAAAUUGAUCAAAGCGAACCAUCCGAAAGUGACCGUUGCGUCGUACAUAGUAAAUGGUAGUAAUUGCAUCUGUCGCAAAUGAAACAUAUUCAUCUUCUUCCAUAUUAGCAAAAUUUUCUGUCAAAAGUGUAGAAUUUUUGUAAACAGUUCGUGUCCGUUUGGAUACUUAACAAUGAAAUUUCAGCAUUUCUUGAAUGAAUUGCCACUGUUAAACCAACUCUUAUAAUUCCUAUUCUUGAUGAUAUAGUAGAUUAUCUGGUUAGUGAACAUUACAUUAUGAGAAUUUGUAUUACUAACAUCUUAGGAGUAAGUGUAGAAAAAAUAUUAACCGGAGAUGAGCUUACUCAAGAACAGAACAAUCAGUGUGAUGAAUGCCUUAAUAUUUUAGAACAUAUUCUAGAUGGGUCAAAAGUUUCACAAAUUUGGCAACAUUUACCACAUGUUGUGAAGGAGCAAUUCUUUUAGCAAAGCAAGGAAAGCUUUUAGCUGCUGCGGCAUUACGAUUAGAAGAUAAAAGUACAAUUGUAAGAAAACAAGCGUUACAGCUGAUACGUGCGUUAGUUCAAGGCAACCCUUUUGCAGCUAAAAGAAAGAAGAAAUAACACUAAGAAAGUUACAAGCUGAAACUGUUACUAAAAGUACUCGUGGUGAUAGUCAGAGAUUACUAUUAUGGAAUGCUUUGCUUCCGAAAAUAAGAGAAGCAUUAAAAGAAGUUAUUAAUGGCACGAAUGAGAGGAGCAUCAGACGAAGUCCAACAGGUGAAAAUUUUUCUCCUGAUGUAAACGAAGAAUGUCUAUUUUUACUUUUAUUGAAAACAUUUAUGGAAUCAGAAAAUGGUCCAGAUAAUGUACAAGCAAAUGCUAAUAACAGAAAAUGAUUAGAUAGAGAUAAAGAAAAUAUAGUAGGAGCAAAACAAGAUGUAAAUUAUUUGAAGACAACUAUCACCGAAGAUAAUGGAGAAGAAGGUGUUGAAGGCGCGGUAGAAGAUGCGGAUGCAAAAUUUAUGAAUGAGAUGUUCUUGAAAAUCAAGUUGUAACCGGUGAUGGACUUUUAUCAAAAUUUGUGCCAUUGGUAUUAGAUGUGUGUCGAUAUCCUGAUAAAUAUAAUAGUGAAGAUCUACAAGCAGCUGGUGCCCUUGCCCUUAGCAAAGUGAUGCUAGUAAGUUCCAUUUUUUGCAAAGAGUCAUUACAGCUGUUAAUUACGAUCUUAUAACGUUCACCCUACCAUAAUAUUCGGGCUAAUAUUCGUACUCACAAAACAAGGAAUCAGAUUUUUAAAUAUAUACUUAUAUAUACAUAUUUGCAUAACUAAUAUACAGGUUUCUAUUUUUUUUUUUUAAUUGGACUAAAGCUAAAAAGGAAAGUAA